rnacentral:misc_RNA from 1 species
GUUUUUUUAUAUAAAAAUAAAGAUCAGACAAUUAAUAAUUUUGGGUUUAUAUUGGUUGGGGGGAGUUUGAACGAAUCUAAACCUCCCCCCAAAAGACAGUAUUGGUGCACAGGGGGGUUGUUGUCCCGAAGGACAGUUCAUUUUUAUAAUGAUCCAACCGCAGGUUCACCUACGGUUA